ACAUGUCUUUAUGAUAAUAAUUUAAAGUCAGGUCUGCUCCAUGAUUAAUUUAUUAAAUAGCUGCAGUAUUUUGACUGUACAAAGGUAGCAUAAUCAAUAGUUUUUUAAUUGAAAGCUGGAAUGAAAGAUUCGAUAAGGUAAAUAUUGUCUCAAAUUUAUUGAAAUUAAAAAUUUUUUUUUAGUAAAAAUACUAAAUUGAUUUUAAAAGACGAGAAGACCCUAUAGAUUUUUAUAUUUUAAAUUUAAAUUAAUAUAAAUUAAUAUUAUAUUUAAGUGAAAAAAUAUUUGAUUGGGGAAAUUAUUAAAUUAGUUAAAUUUUAAUAUUUAUUAAAACAAGAAUUAUUGAGUUGUUGAUCUUAAAUUUUUGAAUUAUAAGAAUAAAUUACCUUAGGGAUAACAGCGUAAUUUUUUUAGAGAGAUCAUAUUGAUAAAAAAGUUUGCGACCUCGAUGUUGAAUUAAGAUAAAAUUUUAAUGAAGAAGUUAAAAAUUUUUGGUCUGUUCGACCAUUAAAAUCUUACGU
rnacentral:rRNA from 1 species